GGAGCGAACGCUGGCGGCAGGCCUAACACAUGCAAGUCGAGCGCCCGUAGCAAUACGGGAGCGGCAGACGGGAUAGUAACACGUGGGAACGCGCCCUUCGGUUCGGAAUAACUCAGGGAAACUUGAGCUAAAUACCGGAUACGCCCUUACGGGGAAAGAUUUAUUGCCGAAGGAACGGCCCGCGUCCGAUUAGCUAGUUGGUGAGGUAAUGGCUCACCAAGGCGACGAUCGGUAGCUGGUCUGAGAGGAUGACCAGCAUCACUGGGACUGAGACACGGCCCAGACUCCUACGGGAGGCAGCAGUGGGGAAUAUUGGACAAUGGGCGCAAGCCUGAUCCAGCCAUGCCGCGUGGAUGAUGAAGGCCUUAGGGUUGUAAAGUCCUUUUAACGGGGAAGAUAAUGACGGUACCCGUAGAAUAAGCCCCGGCUAACUUCGUGCCAGCAGCCGC
rnacentral:rRNA from 1 species